CGAUGACCCACAACCCCAAGCCUACCUACGGGUAAACCCGUUGAAGAAUCGGGGCGAAUGUUUCCCUUAAAUGCCACCACCGAAUGCCAACCUGAAUCCAAUAUGUCUUUCAUUGUGGACAUCAUCACCUCCUACAGUCCAUCAGGUCUCGAUUGCUAACUAGAAUGAGAGCGAGCUUCCACUACGACCCCUGCAAAGUGUUUUUCUUUCGUCUCCUCUUCUCCCCUCUCCCCAACAAGCACUGUACUUCGUGCAUGCCCCUCUCGGUUCGAUCUCCUUUUCUCUUCAACAUC
rnacentral:lncRNA from 1 species